rnacentral:tRNA from 1 species
GCCGCGGUGGCGGAACUGGUAGACGCGCAUGGUUUAGGACCAUGUAUCGAAAGAUGUGAGAGUUCGAGUCUCUCCCGCGGCACCA